UGGUCAGGAUGCUUGCAGUGCU
rnacentral:miRNA from 15 species